AUUGAACGCUGGCGGCAGGCCUAACACAUGCAAGUCGAGCGAGCGGCGGACGGGUGAGUAAUGCCUGGGAAUCUGCCUUAGUGUGGGGGAUAACUAUUGGAAACGAUAGCUAAUCCCGCAUACGCUAAGAUUAGCCCAGGUGCGAUUAGCUAGUUGGUUAGGUAAGCGCUCACCAAGGCGACGAUCUCUAGCUGGUCUGAGAGGAUGAGCAGCCACACUGGAACUGAGACACGGUCCAGAAUCCUACGGGAGGCAGCAGUGGGGAAUAGUGCACAAUGGGCGAAAGCCGGAUGCAGCCAUGCCGCGUGUAUGAAGAAGGCCUUCGGGUUGUAAAGUACUUUCAGUAGGGAGGCGUUACCUACAGAAGAAGCACCGGCUAACUCCGUGCCAGCAGCCGCGGUAAUAC
rnacentral:rRNA from 1 species